CUCUGAAAUGGAAUAUUAUAACUAAAAUUGCAUUGUACAUUCGGAACAGUCCCAAAAAGACAUAACCUCAUGUCUAUACUCGAUAUGCACCCCCUCGUCGAGGUCCAUCACAAGAAAAACGAAAAUCAAGAUUUGCUUUAUCUGAUAUCGAACAUGAACCGCGAGCAAAUAGAACACCUUUACAAAAAAAGAGAAAGGAAGCAGAAACACAAGAAAAAUGUUCUAUCUUAAUUGAAUCUCGUAUCAUCUCACACCAUCUUAAUUAAUUAGGUAUUCAACCUUACAAAAAAUCAUAAGAUGAGAGAAAUCUCAGUAGUUCUGUUGAUUGAUUAUCUGAACGUUUACCUUGUUGACGAGGGUUCGAUUCCCCGUAUCGAACCCCAUUAGCAAGGAUUGUUUUCAUUGGUAGUAUCAAACAACUCUGUCUCAAGUUUACUUCUACAAACAGGACAAACAGGAUGUUUGGCCAACCAAGUAUCAGCACAUUCAAUAUGAAAACCAUGAUUACAACCUGGUACAAUUCUUGCCACUUGUUCUUUUUCAAUUUCAUCCAAACAGACAGCACAAUCAUUUCCCAUAACCAAUUCUUGUCCACUAACUUUAGGCAAUUUAUCCAAUUGUGUUAAAGAAAGUCCUUUUUCUUUAACACCCUUUGUAGUUUCUUGAUUAAUAUUAUGUUGUACUUGUUGUUGCCUUGUUGUUGUAGCAUAACAAAGAAAACACAUGUACACCACAAAAACAACACUCAUCCCAACACAUGGAAGAAAUAAUGCUAGAAACACACUAAAAAGCAUUGUUUUUUUAUAGGAUUUUCGAUUUCAAGACCUUUCGUAAAGAGUAUCUUUCUGGUUAAUACCAAAACGAUUCGAGUAUAUUUACUUAAGGAGGGUGUUUAUAAUAGUAGCAAUGAUAGGAAAGUAAAGAAGAGAAGAGGGUUUUUGAUUUCAAAACCUUUCGAGGAGAGUAUCGUUUUGGUUAAUAUCAGCACGAUUAGAGUAUAUUUAUUUAAGGGGGGUGUUGAUAAUAGUUGUGGCAAUGAUAGGAAAGAAAAGAAGAGGAGGGUUUUUGAUUUCAAAAUCUUUCAAAAAGAGUAUCGUUUUGGUUAAUAUCAGCACGAUUAGAGUAUAUUUAUUUAAGGGGGGUGUUGAUAAUAGUUGUGGCAAUGAUAGGAAAGAAAAGAAGAGGAGGGUUUUUGAUUUCAAAAUCUUUCAAAA
rnacentral:misc_RNA from 1 species